rnacentral:rRNA from 1 species
AUUGAACGCUGGCGGCAGGCCUAACACAUGCAAGUCGAACGGUAACAGGAAGAAGCUUGCUUCUUUGCUGACGAGUGGCGGACGGGUGAGUAAUGUCUGGGAAACUGCCUGAUGGAGGGGGAUAACUACUGGAAACGGUAGCUAAUACCGCAUAACGUCGCAAGACCAAAAGAGGGGGACCUUUCGGGCCUCUUGCCAUCGGAUGUGCCCAGAUGGGAUUAGCUAGUAGGUGGGGUAACGGCUCACCUAGGCGACGAUCCCUAGCUGGUCUGAGAGGAUGACCAGCCACACUGGAACUGAGACACGGUCCAGACUCCUACGGGAGGCAGCAGUGGGGAAUAUUGCACAAAUGGGCGCAAGCCUGAUGCAGCCAUGCCGCGUGUAAUGAAGAAGGCCUUCGGGUUGUAAA